GGCUAUGUGGAGCGAGCCAGUAAGCAGCAGUCCUCCAUAGACCCUGCAUCAGAGUUCUUCCAGAUGCCAGCCCUGCUUUAGUCCUGCCCACACUGCUUUUGAUGAUGGUCUGUGAUGGGAAGUAUAAGGGACUCUUCCUGGACUACCAUAAAUGGUCAUUCCUUGGGCCUAAGAUUCUGUGACCUUUUCAUGUUUGUCCUUUCCAUCUCAUGCACUGAUAAGCCCUAUGUUGAAAUGAGGUAAGGUUACAACAUUGUUUUAACGUAAAUGCUCCUCGUAGGCUCAUUUGUUUGAAUGGCUGGUUUCCAGUUGGUACAGAUGAUGAGGUUCAGGAGACAUGUUCUUAUUGGAGGAAGUGUGUCACCAGAGGCUCUUAAAGACGCGUUCUCUCUCUCUCUCUCUCUCUCUCUCUCUCUCUCUCUCUCUCUCUCUCUCUCUCUCUCGUAUACUACGAGCUCUCAGCAACCUGCUCCAGCCUCCAUCUCUGCUUCCUGUUGCCAUGCUGUCCCUACUAUUAAGGACUCUGGCCUUCAGGAACAGUCAGCCAAAAUAAACUCCUUCUUCUAUAAGUUGCUUUGGUCAUGGUGUUUUAUCACAGCAACCAUACAAGUAACUAAUACAGUUGUCAACAACUGAAGACCUCAAAACCCAUCUAUCCUCCCACUCAAAGGAGAGAAACUUUGUCGGCUUGUUCUUGUACAAUUCACAUGCAAAUGCUACCCGUGUGGUUAACAACUGUUUUUGAAUCGACAAAGCUACUUCUAUUUUGUAGCUGGAUAUAUAUACACAAAACUAUGCACUGGCAUAUGUACGAAGAGAUCUGAGGUGCAAGACCAAAGCCAUCUUUGAAGAAGAAAUCUCUAAAUGGAGAAAGAAAAAUAUAACCUUGUAGCCUGUGACUGUGAGUAAAAUGAGACAUGGAUUUGUGGCUAUAGUAAACGGUAGUGAAUGUAACUAGAUGGUUGUCAAUACUAUAAUUAAUUGACAAAUAUUUAUAUUAUUCAUGCACAACAUUUUGCCUAUUACCCUCAGAGGCCACAGGAAUAAAACAAGUUCUAAUAGCUACAUUAUACCUAGCAUAUGUCCCUAACAGCAACACUGCUUUAUAUCCUACAGUUAUAUAUCAUAUGUGUGUGAUGACAUAUAAUUCAGUCUAUAAUAGUCCACAUAUGUGAUGGAUGGUAGUACUAUAAAUUACUGUACAGAGUUGAAGUUUUUCCUAUGGUUUUGCAGCAUCACAGCCAUUGUGACACCAUGGAGAUUGUAUUUACUCCUGUGUUCAUGUCAAUGCUGGUAUGACCCAACCUAUUACACUGUCAGACAUCCAGAAAUAUAGCACAUCUAUCAUACCAAGUGCAGUACCUAGUACUCGGGAGUCUGAGGCAGGAAACUUGUAAACCUAGCAAGCUAUCUCAACUUUGUAAACGAGUUGGGGUUUACCCUAGGAUGUGUGAAGCCUUGGGUGUGGUCCUCAGUAGAUAAAAGAGGAGGAAGAGAAAGAAGGAGGAGGGAGAGGAAGGGGAAGAAGAGGAAGAGGGAUGUGCUUUGGCAGGUCAAGGACAACCUUCUCUUUUCUUUCUGAGUCUGGGUCUAUACUGGUUUUGAGCUUGCCAAGUAAGCUAGUCUGGUUUGCAACUGAACACCAGGGACUCACCCUUCUCCACAUCAGGGGUGCAGGGCAAACGCUAAUCAUUGAGCUGUGUCACCAGCCCUAUGCUUGUAUUUUAAACUAAGUGUUAAUACAAGGAAGUAAAAAAGUGUAAUAUGUUUAAGUGUAAUAAUACACUAUGAUUUAUAAUUAGGAAAAACUUUUUUUUAUAGACUUGGUGUUUAUAAAGUUUGCAGCGACCCAUAAUAUUGCCUUAGGCUUCACUUUCAUGUGAACCAUUCAGAACAUCUUUCAGACCUGCUUACUGUGUUCACAGCAAGAACCCUAGCCAGUACCUGGCACCAUAUUUUUACUGUGCAUUCUGUAAGUUUAGGUGUGUUAAGUACAGAAACUCUUAUUGUUGUGUUCUAGUUGCUAUGGUGACACUAGUUCAUAGGGUGACACUGUAUACUUGUGGUAACCUGGGGACAAUACUCAGUACCAUUUGGUCUAGAUGUGUUUGUUGUAGGCUUGGCCAUGCAGUUUGUCAUAAUCUGUGAUGGUCUCUUCUUAUAAAUCACCUAACAACAUGUUUCUCAGAAUGUAGCCCAGUUAUCAAGCUAUCAGUUUCCUACCAAACAUAGUUAUCAAGCUAUCAGUUUCCUACCAAUCAUCUUAUGGGAGAACAGAUGGUCAAAGCUUAACGAAUUUAUCUAAGAUUCUACAUUAGAUUGACUAAAGAUGAGACUCUAGGCUUCACUCUUUCUGUGAAGGUAGGGUUUUCUGUUUGGAGAGAACGUAAUAUUUUUAGAGUGACGGGCCAAGAAACUACUUUGAUCAUUGUAAGCAAGUGUUCACUAUACCAGGGAAAGCAAACUACAAGGCUCGGACUAUGUGAAACUCUUGCCUGUUUUAGAUUCCUAAAAUUUUGAUUCAUCA
ensembl:lncRNA